rnacentral:tRNA from 1 species
AGGGAUUUAGGUUAGUACUAAACCAAGAGCCUUCAAAGCCCUAAACGAAAGUG